CAUUCUCCAUCAGUUGUUUGUUAAACCGAUACAUUUUACACUUGCGUGUACACAUUGAAAGGAGAGUAGACAGCAACCAUGUCGUGUCCAGGGAAUAAAGACACUAAAGUCACAGGAAGCUUGGAAAAAGACAACAAAACAUCCCAGACGACAGGUCCUAGUGAGAACCUUACAGAAACAGAUGGGUAUUUAUGCAGCAGUUCUUUCUCUAUGGACCCGGCGGAGGAGUAUAAGAUGAACCACAAGCGGCGAGGCCUGGCUCUCAUCUUCAACCAGGAGCACUUCUACUGGCAUCUGAGGAUGCCCCCGCAACGGGACCAAUGCUGACCGCUCCAAUCUGGUCAGAAGAUUUGAGGACUUGAACUUUGAAGUGCAGGCCUUUGAUAAUCUGAAGGUGGAGGAAGUUCUGGAUCAAAUCAGUCAGGCGGCUGAGGCCAACCAUGCUGAUGCAGACUGCUUCGCGUGCGUCUUUCUGAGCCACGGAGAGAAUGACCACGUCUAUGCUUACGACGACAAGAUCGCUAUCCAGGACAUCACUGCCCUGUUCAAAGGAGACAAGUGUAAGAGCCUGGUGGGCAAGCCCAAGAUCUUCAUACUACAGGCGUGUCGUGGGGACAAGCAUGACGAUCCAGUGACCCCCAUGGACGUGGUGGACAGCGAAGUGAAGACCAACGAGGUGGUGGUGGACGCUGGGGUGGUCUACACCCUCCCUGCUGGCGCUGACUUCAUCAUGUGUUACUCUGUGGCUGAAGGCUACUAUUCCCACCGCGAGACGAUCAACGGCUCCUGGUACAUCCAGGACCUGUGUGGGGCCAUGCGGAAGUUUGGGGAUUCCCUGGAGUUCACAGAGCUCCUGACCCUGGUCAACAGGAAGGUGUCCAUGAGGAGCGUGGGGAAUUGUAACGACAAGACCGCCAUCGGGAAGAAACAGGUCCCCUGCUUCACUUCCAUGCUCACCAGGAAGCUCUACUUCCGACCCAAGAAGCAGUAAGGUCUCCAUCCACUGGGCAGCUAUUACGUCAUUCAUGAAUCCUGCUGUAGUUGUUUUGAAUGUUUUUUUGGGAGAAAGGUUGUCCUUGACUAUAAUGUCUGGUGGUUCUUUUUGUAAAAAAUUUGUCUACAUUAUUUCGAUGUUUGUUUUGAGAACCAUGAAACAUACUUCAUCAAGCUGUGCAUAUUCCCUUUAUUCUAAUCUUUCCUAUGAAACCAAAUGGAGAUCAUGUCAUUGGCUGAUGAUUGUGUAUGCAGUGUUAUUUUAACACACAUUCUGUGGUGGUAAAACUGACCUAAAACAAAGCAUGGUACUAUACUGGUGAAACCUGCUUGGCUGCUCGGCUUCAGGCUUUCCCUGUUGGUGUUGACAGAGGUCAUGGAAUGUACCCGCAGGGCAGGUAAAAGAGUGACAUGAGAAUGGUAACUGAGCAUUAACAUUUCAAAUGACUUUAUUCUCAGUCUGUUUGUGGAUAGCUGUUUGUUAAGAGGGGAUUCUCAGUCAGUAAAGGAUUUUUCAUCACCAGUCCCCUAAGGCCUUUCUCGAGAGAAUACUGCUAAUUCUUAGCAUUGACUAGUGGUUCCCUGGGCUUGAUUUGUUUACAUCAACUAUCUGUGUCAAAUAUACAAAGUCAUGUGCACAAUGUUUGAAGGAGGAUGUGGCUCUGGGGUUAAAUCCCUACCUUGCAUCCAAAAGAUGUGGCUUUGAUCCUUAUCUCUUGUGCAAGAUUGCGCAACUGUCUUUGUCCGACAUAGGAAGAAAAGUGACGAUUUGGGGUAAAGAGUGAGUGGCUCUGGGGUUGAACGCCUUCCUUGCAACCAAGAGGAUGUGGGUUCAUACCAUAUCAAUACCGUCCAGCACGGUGUUUCCUCCGACACAUUGGUGCGGCUGGCUUCCGGGUUGGCGGCGCGCUGUGUGAAGAAGCAGUGCGGCUUGGUUGGGUUGUGUUUUGGAGGACGCAUGGCUUUCGAUCUUCGUCUCUCCCAAACCUGUAUGGGAGUUGUAGCGAUGAGACAAGAGAGUAAUUAGUAACAAUUGGAUACCACGAUAUUAGGGAGAAAAGGGGGUAAAAAAUACAUAAUAAUAUGUUGCCUUGUUCUGUCAAAAAGGGAAUUAGUGUUAUUUCUCUUUGUACUUGGAUGUGCUUAGCCUUUACAACUCAAAUGUAGUUUUACAUGUUUUGAAAGCGACAGGCUAAACGUGAACAAACAACUCCAAUGUGGAAAGUACCUCUGGGUGUCAAGUGUCUAGUACACACUGCAAGUUUGGUCACAUGACCUACUGUACUACUCUGACUCAGGAAAACCAGUCCUAUACCAUUGUUCUUUGUUAUUGAGGGUAUUUGACAACGGUUUUCAACUUAAGAUAAGAUCACUUUAUUGGUCAAUUACACCCCCCCCACAUCCCAUCUGGGCUGGGAUUGGAAACCCUCUGGUUGCUGGCUCGCAUCUCCAACCACUUGGCUACCUGUCGCUCGAAAUACUGAACAACUUUAACAGUACCAAUCUUUUUAAACAACAUUUUUGUACACCACAUGACUACAGGCAUAUUCUUCAGCCAGAAAAUAUGUGCAAGUGUGCAUUAUAUAACUCAGAUAAGACAACUCAGGGUACCAAUCAACCGACCGUCUCAUGUUUAAAAAUAAAUAAUUGUUAGUCACUUGGGAGAUAUUUACUAAAGCAAUGACAAUGCAUGAGUGCUGGACACCAAUUCAUGUUUCUAUUUCUGAAUUGUUCAAGAAAAUGAGGACCAUUUUUGUCUCCAUGGGUGAAUAUAAGGAACUACUGCUUAGUAAGAGUAAUGUACUUUUCUUGUAUUGUGGUCCACCAGGGAAAUGUAUCUCUGACCUUUUGGGAGAUUGGGUUUGCACUAAUAGCAUUUGGAGAGGUGCGUGGGGCUUCUAUUGAGUUAGAAUCUCUCAUUUAUAAAAUGACAGUUGUAAAACUGUUGAAAUAUGUUUGGGGUUUUGAUGAUUGAAACAAAGUCUGAAUUGAGGUGCAAUAAAAUAUUGAAAUGUAA